rnacentral:tRNA from 1 species
UCCCGGGUAGUUCAGUUGGCAGAACGGCAGACUCUGAAUCUGCAUGUCGGUGGUUCGAUCCCAUCCCCGGGAGCCA